UGCUGUGCAGUGACAGAGGAGUCCCUGGGUCCAGCCCAGGGCAGAGUGUGGGGAGGAAGCAGCUCAGGACACAGAUUUGCAUGGAGGCCCCUCCCCUGAGCAGGGAUAAGAGAGGGCUGGGCAGACCCAGGGCUGGUCUCAGGGGCAGCACUCUGGGGGUCUCUACCAUGGCCUGGACUCUGGUCCUCCUCACCCUUCUCUCUCAGGGCACAGGGUCCUGGGCCCAGUCUGUGCUGACUCAGCCUCCCUCCAUCUCAGGGGCUCUUGGACAGUCGGUCACCAUCUCCUGUGUUGGGACUAGCAAUGAUGUUGGGGGGUAUAAUGCUGUCUCCUGGUACCAACAGCGCCCGGGCACACUCAUGAAACUCCUGAUUUAUGAUGUCAGCUCUCGGCCCUCCGGGAUCCCUGAUCACUUCUCUGGCUCCAAGUCUGGCAACACGGCCUCCCUGACCAUCUCUGGGCUGCUCGCAGAGGACGAGGCUGAUUAUUACUGUGGUUCACCUAGGAGCGGUAACACUCUACACAGUGGGGCGAGUUCAUGGGGAAGUGAGACCAAAACCUGCUGUGAAUUCACUCGGGUCCUCACUGCUAAGCUCAGGUUCUCAUUUGUUGCUGUUCUAUGACAUUAUUUUAGUUGG